GCUGCCACUUCCACCUAACUAUAAAUAAAAUCUUUUAUUGCAUUUCCACAGAUCCAUCUUAGCACACUCACAUCCACCAUAUUCACAUUCCUUUACCACCCAACUUUCAAUGCAAAGCGUCAUAAAUAGUAAAAUUGUAAAAUCAGUUUUUAUGAUAAUAAGACACCCACUGCACUAAUUAUCUAUUAUCAAUCAGUUUAAAAAAUUAUAGGAAGUCACUGAGCAGUUUAAUGGAGCAUGGCAUUAGGAUGCUAAACCUUCAACACACCAUCACUGUUGAAGUAUUGAGAUUUUUCUAGAAGAAAUGAAGAUCAUUUUUUUUUACAUUUUGUAAUCCUUAAAUUAUGUUGUCAACCUUGGUAGGUGCAAGUGUAUGUCUUUCCUUGAUUUAAGGAGAUUAAGUAGAAACUUGUUGUAGUAGCUAUGAACCAUGAUUUUUGUACUACUUUUGCUGCAAUACAAGUAGCCUAAUAUAAUGAAAUGUGUGUGAGUGAAUUCUGCAAUUUUAGUCUUGUGUUGUGUGAGGUAGAGAACCUCUAUUUUCUUUGUGAGUUUGCUGUGGGAAAAUCCAACAAACUGUCUAAAAUUUGAUGAUCCUGAAUGAAAGCAGAUUCAGAGAUAUCUACAAUUGAUGGAAUAACCCUCUUAAGCCUACCUACAAGUAACUUGGCAACAAUUUUGUGGAGCCCAUGAAUGAGACUUAUGGGUCUUAAAUCUGUUACUUUAGAAGGAUUAUUGACCUUUGACAUAAGAACAAUAAUUGAAGAUUUGAUUCUAGAGGGUAAUUUGCCAGUUUGAUAGAAGCUGAAAACUAGUUGAAUGAUGAAAGGAGCCAUUAACCAAAAGAUUAUCAUAAAUAUUCGACUCAGUAAUAGAUUUUUUUUUUUUUGGUUGACUCUUAGAUUUCUUUGACAUGUUUCCUCCUCCAUUUAUCUUCGAUGAGCAAUCUAUGAGGUCAAAUAAUAUUUUGCUUUUCCUUCUCUAUUGCAUGCCUUUAUCUUCAGUGUUUUCCUUGUUGUAUCUUCCAAAUACAUCUUUUAGGUCUUAUGUUUUUAAUUUUUUCUUCUAAAUUAAGUCCUUAUAGUUUUAUUAACCCUUGAAUUUUUAUUAUUUUUUUCAUACUAAGCUUUCAACAAUUUAUUAUUUUAAACAUUAUAUACAUUUUCUAGCUGAUGUAAUAAAAAAAAUAUGUUAAAUUGACUUACCAACGUUAUAAAAUAAAAUUUUUCUCUAUCCUCCCUCUCUUUAGGUCCCAAAUGUUUUUCCUUUCUCCCUUUAAAUCACAUUCACUCUUUUUCUUUGCAAAUUUUACCUUCUCUCUCUUAACAAACCAUUGUCUCUUUCUAGUAAACCACACUUUCAUAUGAAACACAUUCU
rnacentral:misc_RNA from 1 species